GAUGAACGCUGGCGGCGUGCCUAAUACAUGCAAGUCGAGCGGUAAGGCCCUUCGGGGUACACGAGCGGCGGACGGCUGAGUAACGCGUAGGAAUAUACCCCAAAGUGAGGGAUAACUGCCCGAAAGGGUGGCUAAUACCGCAUAUGGUCUUCGGAUUAAAGCCUUCGGGCGCUUUGGGAAUAGCCUGCGUAAGAUUAGCUUGUUGGUGAGGUAAAAGCUCACCAAGGCGACGAUCUUUAGCUGGUCUGAGAGGAUGACCAGCCAGACUGGAACUGAGACACGGUCCAGACUCCUACGGGAGGCAGCAGUAGGGAAUUUUCCACAAUGGGCGAAAGCCUGAUGGAGCAACGCCGCGUGCAGGAUGAAGGCCCUCGGGUCGUAAACUGCUUUAUGUGAGAAGAAUAUGACGGUAACACAUGAAUAAGGGUCGGCUAACUACGUG
rnacentral:rRNA from 1 species